rnacentral:tRNA from 1 species
AGAGAGCUUUACUAAAUAUUUUGCUUACAACAAAAAAAUUUUUAGCUCUUUA